GUGGAUUAGAUACCCGGGUAGUCCACGCCGUAAACGAUGGAUACUUGUUGUUGGAGGUAUUGACCCCUUCAGUGACGAAGCUAACGCGUUAAGUAUCCCGCCUGGGGAGUACGGUCGCAAGAUUAAAACUCAAAGAAAUUGACGGGGGCCCGCACAAGCGGUGGAGCAUGUGGUUUAAUUCGAUGCAACGCGAAGAACCUUACCUAGGCUUGACAUGUACUGGAAGACUGGCAGAAAUGUCGUCGCCCGCAAGGGUCGGUACACAGGUGCUGCACGGCCGUCGUCAACU
rnacentral:rRNA from 1 species